rnacentral:rRNA from 1 species
AGAGUUUGAUCAUGGCUCAGGAUGAACGCUAGCGACAGGCUUAACACAUGCAAGUCGAGGGGCAGCGGGAGGAAAGCUUGCUUUUCUUGCCGGCGACCGGCGCACGGGUGAGUAACACGUAUGCAACCUGCCCAUGACAGGGGGAUAAGCGGGAGAAAUUCCGUCUAAUACCGCAUAACACCCCCGGGAGACAUCUCUCGGGAGUCAAAGGAGCGAUCCGGUCAUGGAUGGGCAUGCGGCGCAUUAGUUAGUUGGCGGGGUAACGGCCCACCAAGGCGACGAUGCGUAGGGGUUCUGAGAGGAAGGUCCCCCACACUGGUACUGAGACACGGACCAGACUCCUACGGGAGGCAGCAGUGAGGAAUAUUGGUCAAUGGGCGAGAGCCUGAACCAGCCAAGUCGCGUGAGGGAAGACGGUCCUACGGAUUGUAAACCUCUUUUGUCGGGGAGCAAUAAGGCGUACGUGUACGCAGAUGCGAGUACCCGAAGAAAAAGCAUCGGCUAACUCCGUGCCAGCAGCCGCGGUAAUACGGAGGAUGCGAGCGUUAUCCGGAUUUAUUGGGUUUAAAGGGUGCGC